ensembl:snoRNA
CAGACCAAUGGUGAAGACGGGUGGCGUAACUGUCGUGUUUAAUGAAAAUACAUGCUUGAAAUGCUGAGGUCCAA